GAUGAACGCUGGCGGCGUGCCUAAUACAUGCAAGUCGAGCGAACAGACGAGGAGCUUGCUCCUCUGAUGUUAGCGGCGGACGGGUGAGUAACACGUGGAUAACCUACCUAUAAGACUGGGAUAACUUCGGGAAACCGGAGCUAAUACCGGAUAACAUGUUGAACCGCAUGGUUCAACAGUGAAAGACGGUCUUGCUGUCACUUAUAGAUGGAUCCGCGCCGCAUUAGCUAGUUGGUAAGGUAACGGCUUACCAAGGCAACGAUGCGUAGCCGACCUGAGAGGGUGAUCGGCCACACUGGAACUGAGACACGGUCCAGACUCCUACGGGAGGCAGCAGUAGGGAAUCUUCCGCAAUGGGCGAAAGCCUGACGGAGCAACGCCGCGUGAGUGAAGAAGGUCUUCGGAUCGUAAAACUCUGUUAUUAGGGAAGAACAAAUGUGUAAGUAACUAUGCACGUCUUGACGGUACCUAAUCAGAAAGCCACGGCUAACUACGUG
rnacentral:rRNA from 1 species